rnacentral:rRNA from 1 species
UACGUAGGUGGCGAACGUUAUCCGGAAUUAUUGGGCGUAAAGGAUGCGUAGAUGGUGUAGUAAGUUAUCGGUGGCAAAUCGAGGCUCAACCUCGUGGAAGUCGGUAAUACUGCUAUGCUAGAGGAUAGGAGAGGUUAACGGAACUCCCUGUGGAGCGGUGAAAUGCGUAGAUAUCAGGAGGAACACCGGUGGCGAAGGCGGGUCUCUGGGCCGUAACUGACGCUGAGGAGCGAAAGCAUGGGGAGCGAACAGG